CAUCACAUAUGCAUUUCCUGGAGAGAGUGUUGGAUGAGCUCCACUAGCUGCAUAUGUGAUGUAUGAUGGCGAAGGCACAAGGGCACAUCCACCACCCCAACCGAACUUCCAACAAAGUGGUUAUCCUCCAUCCAGCUUCCCUCCCCAAAAUCAGCAGCCUGCCCCCAGUCCAAAUCUGAUGGUUCGUCCACCUCAGCAGGUGCGCAACCAUCCGUACAAUGAGUUGAUUGAGAAACUAGUGAGCAUGGGCUACCGUGGUGAUCAUGUUGUUAAUGUGAUCCAAAGGCUCGAGGAAAGUGGCCAGCCUGUUGAUUUCAAUGCCAUCCUGGACAGGAUGAAUGGACAUUCAUCUGGUGGUCCUCAGAGAGGAUGGUGAGGUUAAAUGAUCGGGCCCCAAUCUUUCUAGUAACGUUCCAUGAAUGGUCUGAGAAACUAAAGAGUUGUAGUACAUGUGACUCAAACACUAUCUAUUGCUGAAUAAGGAGUCAUGUUGGUAGCGUGGAAUCUGGUGUAUAUGAGAUCUUUAGAUGCAUUGUAUAUUUGUCAAGUCUUCUGAAGCUUUGUUAUUUUACCUGCAAACUUCUGAAGCUCUCGUAUUAGUUG
rnacentral:misc_RNA from 1 species